UGCAAGUCGAACGGAAACAGGAAGUAGCUUGCUACUUUGCUGUCGAGUGGCGGACGGGUGAGUAAUGCUUGGGAAUAUGCCAAAACGUGGGGGACAACAGUUGGAAACGACUGCUAAUACCGCAUAAUGUCUUCGGACCAAAGCAGGGGACCCUCGGGCCUUGCGCGUUUUGAUUAGCCCAAGUGGGAUUAGCUAGUUGGUAAGGUAAUGGCUUACCAAGGCGACGAUCCCUAGCUGGUCUUAGAGGAUGACCAGCCACACUGGAACUGAGACACGGUCCAGACUCCUACGGGAGGCAGCAGUGGGGAAUAUUGCACAAUGGAGGAAACUCUGAUGCAGCCGUGCCGCGUGUGUGAAGAAGGCUUUCGGGUUGUAAAGCACUUUCAGUGGGGAGGAAAGGGUUGUAGUUAAUAGCUGCAAUCUGUGACGUUACCCACAGAAGAAGCACCGGCUAACUCCGUGCCAGCAGCCGCGGUAAUACGGAGGGUGCGAGCGUUAAUCGGAAUUACUGGGCGUAAAGCGCGCGUAGGUGGUUAAUUAAGUCAGAUGUGAAAGCCCAGGGCUCAACCUUGGAACUGCAUUUGAAACUGGUUAACUAGA
rnacentral:rRNA from 1 species